rnacentral:rRNA from 1 species
GACGAACGCUGGCGGCGUGCCUAAUACAUGCAAGUCGAACGCACUCUCGUUUAGAUUGAAGGAGUUUGCUCCUGAUUGAUAAACAUUUGAGUGAGUGGCGGACGGGUGAGUAACACGUGGGUAACCUGCCCUAAAGUGGGGGAUAACAUUUGGAAACAGAUGCUAAUACCGCAUAAAACCUAACACCGCAUGGUGUAGGGUUGAAAGAUGGUUUCGGCUAUCACUUUAGGAUGGACCCGCGGUGCAUUAGUUAGUUGGUGAGGUAAAGGCUCACCAAGACCGUGAUGCAUAGCCGACCUGAGAGGGUAAUCGGCCACACUGUGACUGAGACACGGCCCAGACUCCUACGGGAGGCAGCAGUAGGGAAUCUUCCACAAUGGACGAAAGUCUGAUGGAGCAACGCCGCGUGAGUGAAGAAGGUUUUCGGAUCGUAAAACUCUGUUGUUGGAGAAGAAUGUAUCUGAUAGUAACUGAUCAGGUAGUGACGGUAUCCAACCAGAAAGCCACGGCUAACUACGUG